rnacentral:rRNA from 1 species
UACAGAGGGUGCAAGCGUUAAUCGGAAUUACUGGGCGUAAAGCGUGCGUAGACGGUUACAUAAGUCGGGUGUGAAAGCCCCGGGCUCAACCUGGGAAUUGCAUUCGAGACUGCGUAGCUAGGGUGCGGAAGAGGGAAGCGGAAUUUCCGGUGUAGCGGUGAAAUGCGUAGAUAUCGAGAGGAACACCAGUGGCGAAGGCGAGUCCCUGGACAACUCCUGACGCUGAGGCACGAAAGCUAGGGGAGCAAACAGG